CCCUUAGAUGUUCGGGGCCGCACGCGCGCUACACUGAAGGAAUCAGCACGUCUUUCUCCUUGUCCGAAAGGACUGGGUAACCCGCUGAACCUCCUUCGUGCUAGGGAUUGGGGCUUGUAAUUCUUCCCCAUGAACGAGGAAUUCCCAGUAAGCGCGAGUCAUGAGCUCGCGUUGAUUACGUCCCUGCCCUUUGUACACACCGCCCGUCGCUACUACCGAUUGGAUGGUUUAGUGAGAUCCUCGGAUUGGUCCCGGAGCGGCCUCUGGUCGUGCCGGAGUGCCGAAAAGAAUGUCGAACUUGAUCAUCUAGAGGAAGUAAAAGUCGUAACA
rnacentral:rRNA from 1 species